ACCAACGCCGCCGGAUCCC
rnacentral:miRNA from 1 species